UCCGGUGAUCAGAGCGACUUGGCCCCACCUGAUCCCAUUCCGAACUCAGAAGUGAAACGAGUCAGCGUCGAUGCUAGUGCCACCGCAAGGUCGUGCGAAAGUAGAUCAUCGCCGGGC
rfam:Candidatus Collierbacteria bacterium RIFCSPHIGHO2_01_FTLL_50_25 rifcsphigho2_01_scaffold_19830, whole genome shotgun sequence.